rnacentral:rRNA from 1 species
AUUGAACGCUGGCGGCAGGCCUAACACAUGCAAGUCGAGCGAGCGGCGGACGGGUGCGUAAUGUCUGGGGACUGCCCGAUAGAGGGGGAUAACUACUGGAAACGGUAGCUCAUACCGCAUACUAUCGGAUAACCCAUAUGGGAUUAGCUAGUAGGUGAGUUAAUGGCUCACCAAGGCGACGCGCCCUAGCUGGUCUGAGAGGAUGAUCAGCCACGCUGGGACGUGGACACGGCCCAGACUCCGACGGAGGCAGCAGUGGGGAAUAUUGCACAAUGGGCGCAAGCCUGAGGCAGCCAUGCCGCGUGUAUGAAGAAGGCCCUAGGGUUGUAAAGUACUGUCAGUCGGGAGGCGUUACCGACAGAAGAAGCACCGGCUAACUCCGUGCCAGCAGCCGCGGUAAUUC